rnacentral:rRNA from 1 species
AUCUGGCUCACAUUGGACGUAAGCGGCCAGGCUUAACACAUGCAAGUCGAGCGGGGAAGGGUAGCUUGCUACCUAACCUAGCGGCGGACGGGUGAGUAAUGCUAUAGGAAUCUGCCAUUUAGUGGGGGACAACAUUCCGAAAGGAAUGCUAAUACCGCAUACGUCCUACGGGAGAAAGCAGGGGAUCUUCGGACCUUGCGCUAAAUGAUAGAGCCUAAGUCGGAUUAGCUAGUUGGUGGGGUAAAGGCCUACCAAGGCGACGAUCUGUAGCGGGUCUGAGAGGAUGAUCCGCCACACUGGGACUGAGACACGGCCCAGACUCCUACGUGGAGGCAGCAGUGGGGAAUAUUGGACAAUGGGCGGAAGCCUGAUCCAGCCAUGCCGCGUGUGUGAAGAAGGCCUUUUGGUUGUAAAGCACUUUAAGCGAGGAGGAGGCUACUAGUACUAAUACUACUGGAUAGUGGACGUUACUCGCAGAAUAAGCACCGGCUAACUCUGUGCCAGCAGCCGCGGUAAUACAGAGGGUAGCGAGCGUUAAUCGGAUUUACUUGGGGCGUAAAGCCGUAGCGUAAGCGGCUUUUUAAAGU